AAAUUAUCCAAAUUUAAUUUUUCUAGAUUUUAUAGACAUAGGUGAUAAGCAAAUUAAAAUUAUAAUAAAUAAAACAAACUGUUUCUUACUUGCAAACGGUCACUUUGAAAUGUGAACAAUGUAACUUGUACCGGAAUUUGUAAAAGAGCGCUUAAUUCACAGCCCACUUUCAUUAUAAAAAUCAUAUUAUCACACUUCUUGGUUAAUGUAUAUAUUACAGAUAUUGACGUAAGAAUACCAUUUAAACAACAAAAGAACCGAAAUAAUUUGUUACGAAUUUUUUGAAAUUUUGUAGCCUUCGAGAAAGUGGCCAACAACAUGCAAAUGUCAGAUCUACUUUUAAGAAGGCAAUGAUCUUUUCUAGCGUCAGUAUCUCUGUCAUAAUAAUAAUCUCUCAGACUAUUAGAGAUAGAAAAUAACGUACUUCAUUACGAUUCGCACUUGACUUUACAAUGUUUCUCCAUUCAAGGAAAGAAAAAUCGCGUGAUAUUUUCGCUUGUGUAUUGAACGCUUAGAUAUUACACCUACACUACAUUCAUUUAUAUUUCAACAUAUAAUGUCUACUUUUCUCUGGCAGAGGGAAAUGUGCAGAAUUAUCAUGUGGAAGAAAUUACCAGAGAGGAAAAGGAAAUAAUUAUACAUUAAAUGUACGAGCUAUGGGAUAUAUGUUGGAUUUUAUGUUAAACGCAGAUAAUUUUUUAGAAAAGUAAACAACCAAAAUAAUAACAAGAUAGGAAAAAAUUUUUCGCUACCUGAUGUGCACUUGAAAGUGAUUUUUUUCUGAUCUGUUACUUUACACUCCAAGAGCAACAUUUUGACACAGAUAACAAAAAAUAUUGUGUGCAAUAUGUGCGAAUCGGUUAUUGCUCACUUAUGCGGAGGGAUGAAGGCGAGUAUGUUUUGGCUAAUUUUUAUUCUGUACUUGCGGGCAAUUAGCCGACUCACGUACGCACAUACGCACGCACGCACGUACACACGUACGCACACACGCACCCACGCACGCACGCACACGCACACACACACACACACACACACACACACUUAUUUUUAAAUAACUGAUAUUAUAUUUAUGAAAUAAUUUAUCUUAACUGAAAUUUAUUCAAAUUUUUAUAUUUGAAAAAAUUAUUGCUUGUAAUAAAAGCAAUUAUAAAAUUGAUUAUAUAUUUUUUAUAAUCUUAACCGCAAAAAGUAGAAUAAUUAACUAAGCGUAUUUAACAAAAAAAGAAUUUGUCCCAAAACUUUUACCAAAUACUAUUAAGUUCAAGAUUAUAACGAUGAGAAUUUUUUAGGAACGACUCGAUGGUAGUACAGAGACGUUGGGAUUCCAUAGAAGUCAUAGGUGCAUAUAGUCGGUUUUUGAUGGUUUAGCGUUUGGCGAUGACUUCGAACACUUCGCAAUGAAUUUUUAACUUGUUGAAACGUGUGGUCAGGUUCCAGAAUUUGGAGUGUAAUUGUUGCUAUCCGGAGAAGUCUAGAGAGAUUGCAAAUUUAGAGAGAGCGGCACAGCCCAAAUGUCCUAAUCUGCCAUUUUGGUACUUUUAGUGAUCAUUUUCAAAAAAUUCUUUCACCGUUGUGAUCCUUGGGCAUAGUGGAAUGUUUAAUGAAUAUUUUAGGGUAAAUUUUUUUUGUCGAUUACUUUUGGUUAAUUUUUCUAUCGUUCUUUUUUAACAUUUUAUACGUUAUAUACUUUAUCAUAUUGCAAGAAUAAAAUUUCUACGUGAAAUCUGAACUAAAUGAAAUACACAAAUCCGUUAAAAUACACAAAAACAAUUUAAUAAUUUUGUAAUUUAUAAUAGUGCAAAGGACUUUUUUUCGUUAAUGCUUUAUUAAAAAUAUACUGCUUUACUCAUACUCCAGAUUCUUCUUCCUCGAACAUUAUUCGCAUUGUAGUGAAGUAGGAAAAUAUGGUUGAGAGAUACUGAAACAUUUAUAAUUUUGAAUAUGUACUUUUUAUAAUAAAAUAUAUAAAUAUGUUUUAAUUAUAUUACAUAAUUGUAAAAUAUUCUUGAAAAUGAUUUCCUUUUUAUUUAUAUAGCAUAUAUGACUAAUGCAAAAAUACGUUUUUAAGAUUAAAAAUAUGUUAAUAUAACAAUAUUUUAAUUUUUACUUUUUAGUACAUAAUAAUUAUAAUGUUUAAACAUUGAAUAUAUUGUUACGCGUGCCGCCCGGUUUACUCUUCGACUGCGAGUCAGCUGUCCGAUCGCCAAUAUCGAUCGGCAGCGGCGGUCAGCUGUCAAGAGCCGGGCAAUCAAAAUAAGCAGUCAGUUGAAGAGAGUCUGCGAGUUUUUACGGACGUGUUCUGUAUUUUAUC